GUCGUCCAGCCCGGUGGCUAUGACCCUCGGCUUGUAACCGAGUGGGUUCGGGUUCGAAUCCCGAGUAAGACA